rnacentral:rRNA from 1 species
GUGCCAGCCGCCGCGGUAACACGUAAGGGGCAAGCGUUGUUCGGAAUUAUUGGGCGUAAAGGGUACGUAGGCGGUUAGGCAAGCCUAGCGUGAAAUUCUAUGGCUUAACCAUAGCACGGCGUUGGGAACUGCCUGACUGGAGUCAUGGAGGGGGAGUUAGAAUUCCAGGUGUAGGGGUGAAAUCUGUAGAUAUCUGGAAGAAUACCGGUGGCGAAGGCGAACUCCUAGCCAAUGACUGACGCUGAGGUACGAAAGUGCGGGGAGCAAACAGGAUUAGAUACCCGCGUAGUCC